rnacentral:rRNA from 1 species
UGGGGAGUAUUGCACAAUGGGCGCAAGCCUGAUGCAGCCAUGCCGCGUGUAUGAAGAAGGCCUUCGGGUUGUAAAGUACUUUCAGCGGGGAGGAAGGUGUUGUGGUUAAUAACCACAGCAAUUGACGUUACCCGCAGAAGAAGCACCGGCUAACUCCGUGCCAGCAGCCGCGGUAAUACGGAGGGUGCAAGCGUUAAUCGGAAUUACUGGGCGUAAAGCGCACGCAGGCGGUCUGUCAAGUCGGAUGUGAAAUCCCCGGGCUCAACCUGGGAACUGCAUCCGAAACUGGCAGGCUUGAGUCUUGUAGAGGGGGGUAGAAUUCCAGGUGUAGCGGUGAAAUGCGUAGAGAUCUGGAGGAAUACCGGUGGCGAAGGCGGCCCCCUGGACAAAGACUGACGCUCAGGUGCGAAAGCGUGGGGAGCAAACA